UACGGAGGGUGCGAGCGUUGUUCGGAAUCACUGGGCGUAAAGAGCACGUAGGCGGCCUUGCAAGUCAGAAGUGAAAUCUCGGGGCUUAACCCCGAACGUGCUUUUGAAACUGCAAAGCUAGAGUGGAGUAGAGGAUAGCGGAAUACCCAGUGUAGAGGUGAAAUUCGUAGAUAUUGGGUAGAACACCGGUGGCGAAGGCGGCUAUCUGGGCUCUAACUGACGCUAAGGUUCGAAAGCGUGGGUAGCAAACAGG
rnacentral:rRNA from 1 species